rnacentral:rRNA from 1 species
UACGUAGGGUGCGAGCGUUGUCCGGAAUUAUUGGGCGUAAAGGGCUCGUAGGCGGUUUGUCGCGUCGGGAGUGAAAUCCACUGGCUUAACUGGUGGCUUGCUUUCGAUACGGGCAGACUGGAGGUAUGCAGGGGAGAACGGAAUUCCUGGUGUAGCGGUGAAAUGCGCAGAUAUCAGGAGGAACACCGGUGGCGAAGGCGGUUCUCUGGGCCGAUACUGACGCUGAGGUGCGAAAGCGUGGGGAGCAAACAGG